rnacentral:rRNA from 1 species
UAAUUCGUAGGGUGCGAGCGUUAUCCGGAUUUAUUGGGCGUAAAGAGUUCGUAGGCGGUCCGUCACAUCUUGUUUUAAAUCCCAAGGCUCAACCUUGGAAAGGGACAAGAGAUGGGUGGACUAGAAGCGGUUAGGGGGUGCUGGAAUUGACGGUGGAGGGGUGAAAUCCAUUGAGAUCGUCAGGAACACCGAGAGCGAAGGCAGGCACCUGGGACCGUUUUGACGCUGAGGAACGAAAGCUAGGGUAGCAAACCGUAUUAGAGACCCGGGUAGUCCUAGCCGUAAACGAUCCUCGCUAGAUGGCCCUGAACCAUUUGGUUUGGGGGUGUCGAAGCUAACGCAUUAAGCGAGGCGCCUGGGGAGUACGGCCGCAAGGCUA